AUACGGAGGGGGCUAGCGUUGUUCGGAAUUACUGGGCGUAAAGCGCGCGUAGGCGGAUUGACAAGUUGGAGGUGAAAUCCCGGGGCUCAACCCCGGAACUGCCUUCAAAACUGUCAGUCUUGAGUUCGGAAGAGGUGAGUGGAAUUCCUAGUGUAGAGGUGGAAUUCGUAGAUAUUAGGAAGAACACCAGUGGCGAAGGCGACUCACUGGUCCGAUACUGACGCUGAGGUGCGAAAGCGUGGGGAGCAAACAGGAUUAGAAACCCCAGUAGUCC
rnacentral:rRNA from 1 species